UACGGCCACAUCACGUUGAAACAUUGGUAUCACCGAAGUUAAGUAACGUCGAGCCUGAUCAGUACCUAGAUGGGUGACCACUUGGGAAUACAUGGUGCUGUAA